AAUGAACGCUGGCGGCGCGCCUAAUACAUGCAAGUCGAGCGAGAAGACGUAGCAAUACGUUUGUAAAGCGGCGAACGGGUGAGGAAUACAUGGGUAACCUACCCUAGAGUGGGGAAUAACUAGCCGAAAGGUUAGCUAAUACCGCGUACGCUCCUUGGACUUCGGUUCAGGGAGGAAAGCGAUACCGAGGGUAUCGCGCUCUUGGAUGGGCUCAUGUCCUAUCAGCUUGUUGGUGGGGGA
rnacentral:rRNA from 1 species